GUGCUUUCUAAAGCCCCAUCAGACUCCAAUGAUGGAGCACUGUGGUGCUUUGAGUAUUUGGGGGUGCCUUCUGGGUACCCAGCACUGUGCUGGAUGUGAUGCUGAAAAAUGAUAACAGGGCUUCCUUUACACUCUCAUUUCCUCAGCAGCCCCUCAGGUGCAUAUGAGGAAACUGAGUCACAGAGCGUGCCUUGAAUGUCCCAAAACCCCCAGUCUGUGAGUCAGGGUUUGUGUUCAUUAACAGGUCUCCAUCUCUCACCAUGAUGCUGGUGGCCCCCCCCAAGUAGGAGCCACAGAUCUUUGCCCAAAGUCCAGGGCUACCUGUAUGACUCCACAAUUCUCCCGGGCUGCUGAGGGUGUUGGCAGCCCUGAGGGUGGCAGCUGGGGUAGGGAGUGUGCGAUGCAGUCACGGGCCCUUGGCGGAGUGUUGGCUCCAAGCCUGGCUCCUCCGCCAACCCCAGGCCAGCCUCCCUGGCACUUCCACCCCAGCCCCUCUGAGCUGAAGAUGGUUUCAGACCAUUUCACAGGAGUGCUAGGCUCAGUCAUCUUUUAGUGGCUGGGGCCCUUUCCGGAUCUCGCUGGGCCUCCCUCUAAGCAAGCCCCUGGAGGCGCAGAGCAGAGGGGUGACCAAGCAGGGCCCCAAGCCCGCAGUCUCCCCUCUCUUCCUCCUCUCUUCUAGCACUUCCCUCGUGCGUCCCCCAUCAGCUCCUCUGUCCCCCACAGCAGGUCCCUCUCUCCAAUCAUAGUUCCUGCAGCUCAGCUCCCUCUCCAGAAGACUUCUGCCCAGGGGCGUGUACUCAUGGAUCUCCCUGAACCCUACCCCUGGUACCCCAAAGCAAGAGGGCUAGAUGGCGGGAGGACAGAGGAUUGAGAGGGGAGCUCGGUGCCCCUGGUGCCCCUGUCUCCGGCGGGUCCCCCCAGGGAGGAACCCCACCAUCCUUUUCACAUCCUUUUCACAGCCCCUCUCCCUGGCCGCUGCCCAAUGUGACUCCUCAUCCAAGUCAGGGCCGGCCUCUGGAUUCUUCUGGGUGCACACGGGGCCAGUCCCCUCUCCCAGGUCUGUCCUGAGUCCUGCUGCUGCCUCGGGCCACUUAGCAUGCAGCCCUGGUUGUGCGGCUGCAGCAACCAAAUGAGAUUAGCUUGCCUGCUAAAGCAAGUCCCCACUCGCCACCACCCACGGCCCUGCACAGUCGCCAGCUGCUCUGGAGAGCCCACGGCUGGGCGGGCCCGGCCCGGCCCCUACCACCUCACUCCCCCUCGAACUUGGGGCCAGGGGCAGGUGGAAAGAGGAGGAAGGAUCCUGCCCAACCUUAUAGGCCUGCAGCCUCCCUCCCAACAGGCCUUCUGGAGUCAGCAGGGGGGCAGAGGGGACUCUGGGCAGAGGGAGACAAACGAGAUUAAGGAUGCUUCCUGGCUUUGUAUCCUUUGCCAGUUCUCCUCCACCCAACCUCCUGGGAGGAACAAAUGGGACAUACACCCUGCCGCUUCUCCGCCCUUUACAUCUCCAGGGCCAGUAGUAGGGAGCGAGGGGGAGGAAGGGUCCGGCCCAGCGGCACUCCCUCAGCGUCUGCUCCCACGCCUGCUGGGAGUCAAGCAAGAAGGUCUGCCCCGGCCCCGGGCCUCCCUGCCUCUCUCCUGGCCAGAGAAGGGGAGCCGUGGGAAGAAGGACCCAACUCAGCCCCAGCCCCCAUCCAGCCGGAGGCCCUGCCCCUCACCCCCAGGAAGCUUCCAGGGCCUGUGAAGGAAGCUGGCAGGAAGAAGGUUUUCAAGAAGCCCGAGUUCUCAAUCAGACCCCCGGAGAGUCUCCAUCCUACAGGUGACCUGCCCAGCCAGAAGCAAAAUGCUCCUGAGGCCACUCAGAUGGCCCUGAGCCACCUGGGGCUUCAUGCCUGGCUGGGUCCCACCGGGCUGCUCCCCUUUAAGGGCUGAGAUUGGCACCUGGUGGCUGAGGAUGGCAAGCCCCUGCCUGCCUCCCGCAUCUACCUGGCCGGUCCAGCCCUCAUGGUGCAGCCCAGCCCAGCCCAGCCCAGCCCCCAGGCCUGACGGAAGAUCAGAAGCCGAAUGCUGCUGCCUCACAGCCUGAGCUGGUCCUGGCUCCCCGUUCCCAGCCAGCGUCUCCAUCUACAGCCUGAAAGUCUGAGACUCCGGCGUUACCUGGCUCCAGGCCUCUAACCACGCAGCCCCUUCCCUCACCCCUCUCUGCUCGCCCACCUCCCUUCCACAUGUCCACCUGUCACUAGUCUAGUGCAGACCCUCUGGGGGUGGGCGGUCCCAGGAGCCAGGGAGUCGAGCAAGGGGAGGACCCCAGCCCAGGAUCAUGUGGCCCCAGACCUUUCCCCAAUAAGCCCACCCUCCCCAAACACACACGCGCGCAUGCGCGCACACACACACAAACACACAGAUACACACACACACACUCUGCUUCUUUUGGAUCACUCAGAAUGUGUUGUUGAAUCUCAAGUUCACAAAUUAUCACCUCUUAAUCCAAUCCCCAUUUUACAGGUGGGGAAAUCGAGGCCCAGAGAGGGAACGGACUUGUCCAAAGUUACAUGGCAAGGAAAUUCCUCUGAGCCCAGCCAGUCCUUCCCUCCUGGAAGGACCUCCCCUGGGAGCCCCCAGUGGCCUAUAGGCUGUCUCCCCAGGCUCUCCAAGUCCUCCUGGCUGCCAGACCCGGCCAAUUGCAGGGCCCCAAAGUUAAUAAAUCAAGGUGACUUUGGGGACGAGAAUCGGCCUCCUUCUCCCUUGUCCCUCCCAUUUGCAUAAUCCUGGCUGGCAAUAUGAUAAUGAUGUUUGUUAAAGACAGAGCACAAUAAAUUAAUACCGUUAAGUUGUUGCUGCAAAAUGCAAAGCAGGUAAUUUACUGCCAGCAAGGAAUGGAGCCUUUAAACUGUAAUGGAUUAACUUUCCCAGCAGCAAAUGUGUCCCCCGAGGGAGGGAGGGGGACGGCAGGGGCGGGGCUGGCUUGAUGGUAGGGAGGCCGCCCUUCUUCCCAGGGUCCGGGCAUUUGGUGCCCAGGCCCCGAUCUUAGGUCUCCACUGGAUGUCAACCUCUUCUCCAUUGUGCAGAAGGGGAAACUGAGGCCGGCAUGGAGGUUGAGCUGUAGAAGACCACAGCCAGACAGUGCUGGUGAACUGGGACUUCCUGGGACAGCACACACCCCUCUAGAGGAGGGGGCUGCGGAUGCCCCAUUGGUGCACCCACACUGGGACCCUCGGAAGCAGCCCCUGUUGCAGACCUUUCUUUCUUGAGGGUGACUAGAGGGGUCCCACCAGGCCUAGUCCCAACCCCACAAGUGGCCAAGCUUCCAGCCCAAAGGAGGCCUCAGCCCCAGAGUCAAUCCUGGCUCAGGCCUGGCUCCUCUUGGGGUCCACACCACGGCAAGGAGGG
rnacentral:lncRNA from 1 species